AAAAUUCUUCAAGGUUUAGUGCAAGCAAUAAUAGAGAACUUCAAAAACUACCAUCCUUAAAAGAUUCGUUGUCACCAGCACUUUGUGAAGGUUCCUGGGGUGGCCUGCAGCAGCUUUUCCCGCAGCUCCCUCACACUGCCACCUUAUGACAGGGAUAAUGAGAUGGACCCGGAUUUCAGAAACAAUAAAAUGUGGAAUGUGUCCAUGAAAUAGGGUUGAAAGGUUGACUUGGAACUCAGUGGGCCUGUUGCUUUUCUCUAUGAAACGUCUGUAGCUUCU
rnacentral:lncRNA from 1 species